CUGACCGCCUACAUAUCAACAGAAGGACGCAUUUCCAAGGCAGACACAUUUUGAAUUGCACUCAUGGUCAUAAACAUACUUUCAACCAAAACACAGCCAAUAAAACCAUGUCUAAAUACCAAAUUGCUAUAAGUGACCAUAUACCCAAUACUGUAGUAGAAAUAUAUAUGGAAACUUUGCUUAAAAAUCCAGUUCUUGCAAGCGAAGUCAAGUUAAUAGACAACGUUGUAUUAACUUUUCCGUUCCCAUGUAGUGUCAGAACCGCAUCAUAUCGUCAAUUUGUGUCCAAAUCUUGCCCAUGAAAGCUUACAGAAUGUUCUAAGCUGGCAAUUCUCCAUUCUAAUGUCAACGUGCUCAGCGUAUAAAUUCCUGAAGCGCAGCGAUAUGUCCCAGGCGAAAGAGAGAGUUUAAAAUAAUCGCUGUUUGGGCCAUAUUGUCGCAGUAAACUUUCCCCAACACAUGUUUGGAAGGAUAAAAUGAAAGAAUUCGACGUGAUGAGCAAUUCCGUUUUAAUGUAAGGCGUUUUGUUGAAGAAUAUCGACACGGAUUCCUUGAUGCAGUACGAGGAUUAAUGACUAGAAAUGCAAAUGAUAAUUGAAACGUUUAAGUUGUUUGUGCAAAGAAACGG
rnacentral:lncRNA from 1 species